UGAUUCAGGAUUUGAGAUGAACAAGUUGAAGCUAGGAACUUCUCCUUUCUUUCCUAACCCCGUGAUCCUCGGAGUCUUGAACCUCUGCUUCAACUUUCAAGCUUUUUCAACAAAGAAACUGGAAACGGAACUGUUGACUUAUCAGACACUGAAAGCGAGAGAGCUGCUGCCAUUGUGUCGUUGUGUUGAGAGUUCGAGUGCGAGUCUGCGAAUCAUUUUGUGUUUGUGUGGGAUGGAGAAGCAGUAGUAUUCAGUUUGUGUGGGAAAUGGCGCUUUGGAUGGAAUCAGGUUCCGAACCCAAAACCGAUACCGAGAAUGCAGAUAUCGAUGCUAUCACCGCUCUUAAGGAGUCCGCCGCUCUCGAGCUCAAGGAAGAAGGUAACCGGUAUGUUAAGAUGGGGAAAAAACAUUAUUCUGCAGCCAUUGAUUGCUAUACUAGGGCAAUCAAUCAGAAGGUAUUAAAUGACAAAGAGAAUUCAAUUCUCUAUGCAAAUCGUGCUCAUGUGAAUCUUCUCCUGGGAAACUACAGACGUGCCCUUGAAGAUGCUGAAGAGGCAAUUAAGCUGUGUCCUACAAAUGUCAAGGCACUUUAUCGAGCUGCCAAAGCUGCCUUGUCUUUAGAUCUGUUGACUGAGGCAAAAUCAUUCUGCCAAAUGGGACUAGAGCAGUUCUCGGGUAAUGAUGAACUGAAAAAGCUGUUGAAGGAAAUAGACUUGCGAAAAUCAGAAUGUGAACAACAUGAGGCUCAAGUAUUGCAGGCUGUGGCUGCUGCUAAGGAUCUUGCAUCUGCCAUUGAGAAUAGAGAGUUGAAGCUAGGGAAGCCAUUGUAUCAAGAACUUACUGGAAUCAGAAAGCCAAUGCUAGAUAAAAAUAAUAUUCUUCACUGGCCGGUUCUUCUUCUUUACGCAGAGGUCAUGUCCAGUGACUUUAUUGAAGAUUUCUGUGAGACGGAUAUGUUCUCUCCUCAUCUUGACAUGAUGUUUUCAGAAAGUUGUCCUCCAUUACCUUGGGAUAAGGAACACAAUUACACCCGUGAUGCUGUUGAGCUGUAUUAUGAGGUAGGUUCUGGAGUUCCUCUAUCAAAGAAUGAGAUUCUUCGACAUCUCCUGGAGGGAAGUGCAGGUUCUCUUGCAGAAGGAAUCUGUGACGAAGAGAAAGAUGCACAGGAGUCAAGCUGUGGUGUAUCUGCAGGCAAAGGCCAUAAAUGGGUGAAGGUAGAAGAGAUGAAAACACUUCACAGUGUCCUGAGGCAACGGGAUUUCAUUAUCCCUGGAAUCCCAGUAUUCUAUGUUGUUUCAAGACGCUCCACCUUCUAUCGGGAGUUCAGAGCUGGGAACUGGACUCCACCAUGAUUUUGCAGGAUCAGUGGCAUAAUCAACAUGGCCUCAUCAAGUGAGUUGCAAUCUCAGAUUUGUUUACUGAGUAAUAUACCAGACAACAAAGCUUGCUAAUCAAAUACCGGUGGGCACUUCAGAGAUUCUCAGCUUGUGAUGGAGAUUUUCAUCCACUUGACUUUAGUCAUGCUGUUAUCAGUGAGUUGUGAGAAUAGGAAACAAAGUAUCUGUUGGGAGCUGAGGCAGCUGCACUUUGAUUAAGAUGAUGUGUUAUUGAAUGUGUUACUGUUUAACGAUGUCACUCAAAGCUUGAAUUGUUUUUGUAGCUCAUGCCGCGGCUCAUAGUUUAGGAUAGAUCGAUUGAUUCUGCUGGAGAGAAGCUACCUUGUUUUGAGUUGUUUCUAUCAAGGAAUUAUUCACUAUUUCUGUGUUGUUGCAAACAAAGUGGCUGUCAUUGUAUGUUACUGGAACUUAAGACUUACUGGAAAUCAUGCCGCAAGAUAGUUGCAUAUUUAAUAUGUGAAGACUAGUUUGUUGAAUCACCAAAGUCAAAA